GCUCUGCUCAGAGGUCCUCAGCCCAGGGACUCCAGGCUUUCCUAGACUCUGUUACUAACCCUAACCCAGGACUAUUGCUAGACCCUGGGACUGCCCCUUCUUUACCCUGACCUCAAGACCUCUUCCACUUAACCACUGCAUGACCUUUCCUUGACCUGUGACCCUUGAGCUGGUUAUCCCCUUUGGUGGUCCCCUCUCUCCUUUUCCUUUCUCCAGUCCUCCUGCUGAUCUUACUGAUAACCCAGAACCUGAUCAGAAGUCAGGUGACCCCUGCUCCUGUCCAGAUAUGCCACAGCUUCCACUGCUUUGGAGAAAUGUGCUACCAGGAGGCAAAGUUCUCCAACCAAAUGGCAGAGUGUAAACCUGGGGAGCACCACUGUGAGGUCUGGCCACCUGACCAUCCCAGAGGACAAGUUGGUUCUCACUCCACCAGCCCCUGAGAGAAAUGAGUAAAUCUGUGCCAACUUCUCCUGCCAAGGCAGUGACUGCUUCAAAGGGCAGAAAGCUGUGGCCAUGUGCCCUGAGGGCUUGGACUUCUGUGAGGUGGGUCCCUGGAGUGCUCCAAGGAUUGGGGUGCUGUUUUUUCUCAGAACUGCAGUCCUUUCUCCU